CUAAAUUGCUUUCCUCGUUUUCCUCAUUAUUUUACUUAGACUCACAUCGUCUCUUUAUGAUCACUACCCUGAAUAUACAAACUCCUUUGACCCUCUUUCCCAUCAUCAUUUCUAUUUGGCAAAACUUUUACCCUAUUUUAGAUUCUCUACCACUGGCCUUUUCUUUCUCUCACAGGGGAUAACUUCCCUGCUCGUUUCCAAAGUCCUACCUGGCCAGAACUAUCCAGUGUACUCCUAAUGUAUUAACAAUUUAAUUUAUUUGUUUGUUUAUUUAUUUCACAAAUGUUAUUGAGAACACACACACUUAGUCCAUAACAUGACCAAAAUAGCAAGGUGUCCAGGGUGGCGGGAGAGGAAUGAACCAGAGAAAGAGAUGUGGGAAAUAAGAGUAGGAGGAGGGAAACCUAGACCAAGUGGGCAUUGUCGGCCCUAUUAAGUUCUUUAGCUUUAACUCAGAGUUAAAAUUAGAGCUAUUGUUGGCUUUUAUGCAGUGCUAUUGCAGUAUUUGGCUCCAGAGUAGCAAAAGUCGAAACAGAAAAACCAGUUAAGAAGUUAUUUACAUAUUCCAGAUCAGAAAUAAUAGUGUCUUAGACCAGACCCCUUACUUGGAGAGGUAAGUUGUGGAAAGUUGUUGGACUUUGAAUGUAUUUUAAAGACAAAGGUAAAAAGAUUUGUUGAUGGAUUGGAUAUAGGUGUGAGUGAAAGAGAAGGUCUCAGAUGACUCUAUGGUAUUCAGCCCAAGAAAUUAGAAGGAGGGAAAUGUCAUUUUCAGAGAAGAGGAAAAAAGAGUGGACCAAUUUUUAUUUAUUUUUUGCUUUAGGUUUAGAGGUACAUAUGCAGGCUUGUUACGUAGGUAAACUUGUAGAUAAACUUCACAGAGGUUUGUUGUAUAAAUUAUUUAAUUAUCCAGGUACUCAGUCUAGUACUCAGUAGUUAUUUGUUUGAUACUCUUCCUCCUCCCCACUCCACCUUCAAGUAGACCACAGUGUCUUUUGUUCCCCAUGGUCUGUUAUGUCCAUGUAUUCUCAUCGUUUAGUGACAGUUUACAAGUGAGAACAUGUGGAAUUUGGUUUUCUACUCGAGCAUUUACAGCUACGGCUGUUCCAUUAAAUAUUUGUCAGAGAAAAAGAUAGAGGAUCACUUUCCUUCAUAUGCCUAGUAACUUCAUCACUACACUUAAGAAAAAAUGUCACUUCAACAUCAACACAAAUUUCAUUUUUUGAUUGAAACUCUGAUAGUGUUAUUCAGACAUUGGCAUUAACACUUCAAGACUAGUGCACAUAUCAGAGAUAUGAAUACAAUUUUCUUAUUUGAAAAGUAAGGGGAUUUUGGAAUUGACCUAUUGCAAAAAUAUUUAAUUUGCAGAUUACUUGGUGUACUUUCAGCAUUAUUGUUACCUAGGUUUAUUUUUCUUCAAAGCAUAGUUUGAAUUUGUCCAGACUGAAUUCUUAUUUUAUACCUAUUUCAGACAGGACAGUUAUGUUAACCAUCUAUUCAAUUUGUUACCACACGUCAAAGUCUGCACUAGUAAGGCACACCAAGAAACAACUAAAUUCAAAAUGGAAAAUGGGAAAAUCACAUUAAUAAAAAAAUCCUCGGGCAGAUAGCUGGUUAUACUAAGCUAUCUGCUUUUAAAACAGGGAGUGGCAUUUUCAUAGCUAUGAGACUUCAUUUAUUUUAUGUUCCAUGUUAUUUUGUAUAUUUUGUAAAUGAUCUUAAUAUUACAUGCAAACAAUAUUUAAUUUUAAUAAGCAUGAUGCUUUCCUUUAGAGUGACCUUCUAGAAGAUCUUAGAUCAUUUACACAGAAAAGCCUGUUGCCAUAAAACACCUCUGUGAAGAAUUUUCUUUGUAAUGGAUUUGCUUACCAAUAUCUUCAACAACAAAAGCAUUUUGUUAUUUUAGCUUUUGUCCAAACUUUUGCCAUUUUUUACCUGUUUCAUAUUAGUGAUGUAAGGGUGAGAUUGGUAAGAGAUAUU
rnacentral:lncRNA from 1 species